UUAUCAUAAAUAGAGUAGUCUUUUAAGAGGUUUAUCUUACUAUAUUAUUUCACAGCACCAAGUUUGCAUAGUGCAUGGCAGGAAGGAAUCAUCCAAGCUUAUUUCAUCUCAAACAUGACCCCCAGAAUUUGAUUUUUGGGACAUUAUUUGUUGUUUUAAUCUGUGAGAUCAGUAAAGGGGGUUAAAGGGUACUGCUUGCAGCUACAAAUUAAUGCAUGGAUUGGAAAUUUUUUAAACAAGUUUUUGGAACCAGAAACCAAAGUCCAACCACCUUCAACUACAAGUGAAUUUAUAUGCUGAAAUGAGAAUGGAACAACCACAACAGGAAUGAUUGAAAAAUAAGUUGAAAUGAGAACGGAACUGCUCUGAGUCUAUACUUGACAGGGUUCAUCCUCUUUCUUCCAUGACAAGCCAAAGUUCCUUUCGUGACAAUCUUAAAUUCAAUCCAAACCAGAACGGCUAAGUCGUGCCUUAUAAUCCAGUCACCGUAAGAUUAGGAUAGGAAGGAGGUUUGGUUUGGAUCUUCUUCAUUAUAUAGUAAACACUGGCCGUCAUCUCAUGGAUCUUCCUAUUGUUGAUGAGAAGCAGCAAGCAAAAUCCAGCGAUUAUGUGAGAGAGUUUAUGGAGAAGGCUUUUGUUAGGUCUGGACUGUGGAGCUUGUCAGGGUUCAAGAAUGCUGGAAAUCUCACCAGUCACCGGUCACCACAAGCCACAAGCAUUGGUGGGCUACCUUGUCUUGAGAAUCAGGCUCGACAUUGAUGGCAUAAGAUACCAGCAAUGAGUGGGAUCAUCUUUAUGCAUACGGCUAGGGGAAAUAGGCAUACUUGGAAAAUGAUGAAGGAGAAAGGGCAGCCGGUUUAUUUCAUUGUUAUUGCAAACCCCACAAGAACCACUACCACAUACUUGUACCAUCUGUAAUAUAUAUAUAUAUAUCGCAACUCGAGAUUGAUUUUAUUUGUAACGAAUCUCAGGUCAGGUUAAAGACAAUAAGAGGAAAAUUUGCUUCAA